UACGUAGGGGGCGAGCGUUGUCCGGAAUUAUUGGGCGUAAAGAGCGUGUAGGCGGUUCGGUAAGUCUGCCGUGAAAACCUGGGGCUCAACCCCAGGCGUGCGGUGGAAACUGUCGAACUAGAGGAUGGUAGAGGGGAGUGGAAUUCCCGGAGUAGCGGUGAAAUGCGCAGAUAUCGGGAGGAACACCAGUAGCGAAGGCGGCUCCCUGGGCCAUUCCUGACGCUGAGACGCGAAAGCGUGGGGAGCAAACAGG
rnacentral:rRNA from 1 species